rnacentral:lncRNA from 1 species
UUGGAAUAUAGGACACAUUGAAAUUCGAAUUGGUUUUCGUGGAAGAAAAUCGAUCUGCACGAAUAUAUACGUACGAUACAUAAGUUGAACUUAUUAUAAGUGGAUUAGAUUUCCAAGAUUUCUAACAAUAUCUGAAAUUGUAAUUCGAGAUUUUCUAAUUAUUUUAGAAGAUUUAUCAUGAUUCUUGAUUCUAAAAUCUAGCAAGAAAUUAAUGAAAGAUUCGAUGCAUUAAUAAACGAUUAAGAAAACUUCAGAUCCUGGAAAAUACCUGGAACCAGAAUUUUAUAUUUUAACUUGAAGUGAGCAUACGCACAACAAAAUUGAUUCCAAGAUUUCUAGCAUAUCCACUUAUACAAAAAAAGACACAAAGAAAAUUCAAAAAUUCACAUUUCUCGAUCUUAGAAACCAGAAUAUCUUUGUCUUAACAACUCCACCCGAAAUUGAUAUCUAAAAAAAUUGAUCCAAUUGAUUCCAAGAUUCAUAGAAUAUCCACUUAUACAAAAAAAGACACAAAGAAAAUUCAAAAAUUCAAAUUUCUCGAUCUUAGAAACCAGAAUAUCUUGUCUUAACAACUCCAUCCAAAAUUGAUAUCUAAAAAAAUUGAUCCAAUUGAUUCCAAGAUUCAUAGCAUUAUAUAUUAAUAACUUAUACAAAAAAAGACAAAGAAAAUUCAAAAAUUCAAAUUUCUCGAUCUUAGAAACCAGAAUAUCUUAUCUUAACAACUCCAUCCGAAAUUGAUAUCUAAAAAAAUUGAUUCCAAGAUUCAUAGCAUAAAUUCACUUAUACAAAAAAAGACACAAAAAAAAUUCAAAAAUUCAAAUUUCUCGAUCUUAGAAACCAGAAUAUUUUAUCUUAACUUCACCCGAAAUUGAUAUCUAAAAAAAUUGAUCCAAUUGAUUCCAAGAUUCAUAGCAUAUAUCCACUUUUUUAUUCAAAGAAAACACAAAGAAAACUUUAGAUUUCCUUAAAUUCUAGAAUUGAAAUAUUUUAACUAAGAAAAACAUACAUACAAUUCCGAUAUUUCGAUCCAAAAACGUCGCGCCUACGAAGAGAGGGUUAUCCCGUUCUUCGCUCGUCCUUUCGUCCCCUGCUUUGGCAGGCGACGCGCCGGUAGAGGCACAAGCGGAGAGAAAAAGAGAAAGAAGGAAAGAGAGCAAGAGAGAGAGGGAGAGGGAGAGGGAGGGAGGGAGUAGGCGGCGGGCGAAGGCAGUGGGUGCCUCCAUGUUAUGCAGCCCCACCACCGCCUCUAUCCUGACCAACCGGCUGUUUACUGUUUGGCCUCCCGGGAUAUCGAUCCCAGUAGCGUAAGAACCGGCAGCCUAGGGCCACCGAGAGAUCGGCACACGUCGAGCAUUUCGUCGCGUCGACGGUUGCCAACCGAGAGACGACCGAACCUCCGAAUCUCCCUCUCUCCCUUCCUCCUCCUUCCUCCCCACCCGCUAUCUCCCUCUCUCUCUCUCUCUCCGAUUUCUCCCCUCUUUUUUUUUUUUUGUUUUUUUUUAUCACGCUGCAGACCGUCGUCCGCGAAUCGACGACUUCGAUUCUGAACUGCCCCUAAUUGGGGAUACCGUUAGUCCAUCGAAGAAGAAGAAGAAGAGGGCCACUUGACCCCGCGAGAUCGAUUCGCGACUUUGAGUUACGCGUUUCUCAGCGCCUAAGGAGGAACGAUACGUAACGUAUCCUCGACGCGCCAGAUGGUUUGUGGGGGAAUGAACGAGGCUUGCAACAUCGGGAAAUUAGAUACCUCGAGGAGAGCGAGAACUGGUUUUUGGGGGAUGUGCGUGAGGAGGUCAGGUGGAUGGGAGGUGGAUACCUGGGAUUGGGAAGGGAAUAAUCGUUUAUGAGAGCGAUGGAACGAUGUAUUUUUGGGAAGAUCGAAGUUAUGUAUUCGAAUAUUUUGAUACAGGAUGAUAAUGAGGAAGGGGGAGAUAGUUGUUUCGUGGAGAUUUUCUUCCGUGGAAGAAGAAUUCGAUGGAAGGAUUUAAAAAUAUUGGGACAGGAUUUUAAUAUACCGAUAUCGUAUAAAUAUAAAAAGCCAUAAUUUUCACGCAGUAUGUAAAAAUUAUCUGGAGAAGGGAAAGGAGUCGUUAAUUAAAAUCGUAUAAUCGUAGGAGCAGGAUCAGAGGUGAAGAAGAGGAAGAGGCGUUUAUCGAGAGGAACGGGAUGAUAUGUUGAGAAACGGAAGCAGGAGCAGCCAUUGUUGUGCUAAGAGGGUCGAAGAAUGAAUCUUGCCGCGAAUAGAUUUCGGCUUGGGAUUAAGCCGUCCCACUUUCGAUUCCAUUCGAUGGCAUCGUCGCUGCCGCGACUUUAUUGUGCCCGCCACUUCGGAAUAACCUUCGUCGCUGCCAGGCCUCGCAAUUUCCGCACGUGUGGAAUUUUUUCGAAUAUCCAGACGGAUCGCAAGGCACAAUAUUUUAACGUUUUAAAACGAACUUUUCCCACGUCACCGCGAGUCGAGGGUUGCGAUAUCUCCACUCCUACAUCCACCACCACUCGUCGCGACAAAGGGAGACCUACAUUCCGAGAAAUAAAAAUGGAACGGUUCGUCUUGAUCUUUCAUUGUCCGGGCUAUUGUUUCGUAGGAUUUCUAAUCGUUCGUUUUUUUCGACUCGAAGAAAAUAAUAAUGGGAUUACUUUAAUCGAUAUUUAAUCGAGAUAUAAAAGAUGUAUUAGCAAAAAUUAAUAAACGGAUUACUAUUUCUUUUGGAAUCUACAACUCGUUUAAUUAACUACUUAAAAUUAAAAUUUUAAUAUAAUCGAAAGUUCGAAACCCGGAUGAUUUUACACGGCGCAUGCCCGAAAAGAUGUCCUAUGCGGAUGAUCUUCGACUUGUAUCGGUACACGUGUUCCGCAGCGUGUCGAACACGCGGUAUCAGCGAUGCAAUCUUUCGAUCCUUCGCAUCCGCGCCCAAUUCUCUUCGCUACUCAUGUUCCCUGGACGAUACCUCAAGUACGAUACGCAAUUAUCAUUUCGCACGGAUCAAACUCAACUGAUCCGUUGACUAUUGAUGAAAGAAAAUUCAAUUUUUCAUUGGAAUUAAAAAAUGAAAUUAGUAAAAUCUAUAAAUCAAAGUAUUAGAGAGAUAUGAUGAAGAUUAGAGAUCUGUAAAUCUUCAACAUUUGUCCAAAAACCACUGGUUGGUCACUGAACCGCGAAACUGGGUCAUUCGAGCAUCAAACGUCACGGCUGGUUAAUUCAACGCGAAAAAACAAAGGCGACUUAUUGUUUUCCUUGGUUCUUUGAAGUCCGUCCAAAUUAGUUUAAUUGAUCUUAAGAUAAAAAAAAAA